GAUGAACGCUAGCGGGAGGCUUAAUACAUGCAAGUCGGACGGCAGCAACACCUUCGGGUGGUUGGCGAGUGGCGAACGGGUGAGUAACGCGUACGGAACUACCUUAUACUGGAGGACACACACCGGAAACGGAGUAAAUACUCCAUAGUCUAGAAAUAGUAAAGCUUCGGCGGUAUAAGAUGUUCGUGCGUUAGAUUAGGUAGAUGGUGAGGUAACGGCUCACCAUGCCGACGAUCUAUAGGGGGCGUGAGAGCGUGAUCCCCCACACGGGUACUGAGACACGGACCCGACUCCUACGGGAGGCAGCAGUAAGGAAUAUUGGACAAUGGGGGCAACCCUGAUCCAGCCAUCCCGCGUGAAGGAUGACUGCCCUAUGGGUUGUAAACUUCUUUUAUGUGAGAAGAAACACAUCUCUGCGGAGGUGUCUGACGGUAUCACACGAAUAAGCACCGGCUAACUCCG
rnacentral:rRNA from 1 species